AUACGGAGGAUCCGAGCGUUAUCCGGAUUUAUUGGGUCUAAAGGGUGCGCAGGCGGCCAUUUAAGUCAGCGGUUAAAUCGUGGGGCUCCACCCCAUUCUGCCGUUGAUACUGGGUGGCUUGAUUGCGGUCGAGGUUGGCGGAAUUCGUUGUGUAGCGGUGAAAUGCAUAGAUAUGACGAAGAACACCGAUUGCGUAGGCAGCUGACCAGACCGCAAAUGACGCUCAUGCACGAAAGUGCGGGGAUCGAACAGGAUUAGAUACCCUGGUAGUCCGCACAGUAAACGAUGAAUACUUGUUUUCGGCGAUAUAAUGUCGGAGGCAAAGCGAAAGCGAUAAGUAUUCCACCUGGGGAGUACGCCGGCAACGGUGAAACUCAAAGGAAUUGACGGGG
rnacentral:rRNA from 1 species